AAAAACAUGGCCUUUUGAGAAUAUAUAAUAUAAAAGGUUGGACCUGCCCAGUGGUUUAUCUAAACGGCUGCAAUGAAUAAUUGUACAAAGGUAGCGAAAUCAGUUGUCCUUUAAAUGGGGAAAGGUAUGAAAGGUUUGACGAUAAAGAAGCUGUCUCUUAAAAAUAGUGUGAAGUUUCCGUUUAAGUGAAAAGGCUUAAAUUUUUGAAAAAGACGAGAAGACCCUAUUGAGCUUGAUUAUAUUUUUUUUAUUAAAAAAGUUGAAGUUUUAUUGGGGCAAUAAGAAGCUAUAAGGAACGCUUCUUUUUAAAAUAAAGAUCCUCCAUGGGAGAAGUAAGCAAAAGUUACCAUAGGGAUAACAGCGUUAUCUUUCUUAAGAGUUCUAAUUGAGGGAAAGGUUUGCGACCUCGAUGUUGGAUUAACAUGUCUUUUUGGCGCAGCAGCUAAA
rnacentral:rRNA from 1 species